rnacentral:rRNA from 1 species
AAUUGUUAAAGAGCCGCGGUAUAUUGACCGUGCAAAGGUAGCAUAAUCAUUUGGGGUUUAAUUGGAACCUGGUAUGAAUGGUUGGACAAAGGAAAAGCUGUCUUUAUAAUAAAAAUUGAAAUUUACCUUUAAGUGAAAAGGCUUAAAUGUUUCAAAGGGACGAUAAGACCCUAUAAAGCAUUUCGUUGGGGCGAUGAAAGUAUAAUUAGUAACUGCUGAAAUAGAAGAUUCUAUAAUGAAAUGAUCCUAUUUAAAGAUUAAAAGGCUAAGUUACUUUAGGGAUAACAGCGUUAUUUCUUUUGAGAGUUCAUAUCGAAAAAGAAGAUUGCGACCUCGAUGUUGAAUUAAAAUGUCUAUAUAAUGAAGGUGUUAUAUAAGAGGGUCUGUUCGACCUUUAAAUUUUU